rnacentral:rRNA from 1 species
AUGACGGCGACAAGGGCCGUAAUUAAUCUGCCCGGCUCUCCUCUCUCGCCGCCAAGUGGUCGCUGCCCCUCGUCCUCCGGCCUACCAUGCGGGGUGCUGCCCAUGCGGCCGAGCAGAUCUCCCCGGCCUACCGUCGCCGCAGUGGCCAAGAACAGGCAGCUGGAAGUCGGAGAAAAUGCUGCAAGUCUGCAAAACCAGCUGUUAGUAUUAAUAAAUGGCAUGGAUCAGAAGAAGGUUAGAGAGACUAGAAGAAAGCAGCAGCUCCAGGAACCCGAACCGGCGCCAUCUUCCCACGACACGGCAGGGGUGGCUACGGCGGCACCCUUGCCUUUGCCUGCCUCCCCUCCGAUCCAAUGCUUCCCAACGUCUUCCACAAAUAUACAUCACCAACUAUCCAUGCUGGACGUCCUUGAAAAGAUCGGAAUAUCCCGGCAUUUUGCUGGUGAGAUCAAGAGUGUCCUGGACUUCACUUACAGUCGUUGGUUGCAGAGAGACGAGGAGAUCAUGCUGGAGACGGAGACAUGUGCAAUGGCAUUUCGUAUCUUAAGGAUGAACGGAUACGACGUCUCAUCUGAUAGCUUAUCACAUCUUACUGAAGCCUCCGUUCAUCUGAAUGAUACGAGAUCUUUGUUAGAACUAUACAAGGUUUCCCAAGUCAGUACCUCGAAAGACGAGUUGAUUCUGGACAGUAUAGGAUCCUGGUCAGGUCGCCUACUGAAGGAACAACUGAGAUCUAGUAAGGCACAAAGAACGACACCACUCCUAAGAGAGGUAGAACAUGCUCUUGAUGGCCCCUUCUACACUACAUUGGACCGUCUAGAGCAUAAGAUGAACAUCGAACAAUUUGACUUUAUGGAGCAUCAGAUGCUAUACUUGCCUUGGCAGAGAAAUCAAGACCUGCUAGCUUUGGGUGUCAUGGAUUUCAGUACAAGUCAAAUUGUGUGCCAACAAGAGCUUCAACAUCUCGAGAGUUGGGUGAAAGAUAGCAGGUUAAACCAGUUACCUUUUGCACGACAAAAGUUAGCCUAUUUCUACCUCUCUGCCGCCGGCACCAUGUUGCCUGGAGAGUUAUCCGAUGCUCGGAUUCUAUGGGCCAAGAACGGUGCGCUUACGACGGUCGUUGACGACUUCUUUGAUGUCGGGGGAUCAAAAAAAGAAUUGGAGAAUCUCACCACAUUAGUUGAGAUGUGGGAUAAGCACAAGGAAAUUCAGUACUACUCCAAACAUGUAGAGAUUGUUUUUUCUGCAAUCUACAACUCGGUGAACCAGCUUGGAGCAAAGGCUUCUGCGGUGCAGGGCCGCAAUGUCACCAAACACUUUGUAGACAUAUGGCAAGAUUUGAUGAGAAAUAUGAUGACCGAGGUGGAAUGGAGGGAGACCGGAUACAUUCCAACACCAGAGGAGUACAUGGAGAAUGCGGUUGUUACGUUUGCAUUAGGCCCCAUUGUGCUCCCAGCACUCUACUUUAUUGGGCCAAAGAUUACGGAGUAUACUGUCAGAGAUACUGAGUAUAACGAGCUAUUCAGACUAAUGAGCACUUGUGGGCGUCUCCUGAACGAUGUCCAAACCUACGAGAGGGAGUACAUCGAUGGUAAAAUAAAUAGCGUAUCUCUGCUCGUUCAUCAUAGUGGUGGCUCGAUGACCAUACUAGAGGCCAGGGAAGAGCUGCAGGAGCCCAUAGACACAUGCAGGAGAGACUUGUUAAGGUUGGUCCUCAAAGAAGACAGUGUCAUGCCUAGACUAUGCAAGGAGUUGUUCUGGAAAAUGUGCAAGACAUGCUACUUUUUUUACUACAAAGGAGACGCGUUCAGCUCGCCAGAGGAGAAGGUUGGUGCGGUGGAUGCGGUGAUCCAUGAGCCGCUCCAGCUCCCCAUGAAUCUACUCCCUGGUCUCGACUUGUCCUAA